GCAUCGAGAAGAACGCAGCGAAAUGCGAUAAGUAAUGUGAAUUGCAGAAUUCAGUGAAUCAUCGAAUCUUUGAACGCACCUUGCGCUCCUUGGUAUUCCGAGGAGUAUGCCUGUUUGAGUGUCAUUAAAUUCUCAACCCCUUCAGCUUUAGUGGCUGACUAGGUGGCUUGGAUUGUUGGGGGUCUUGCCGGCUGUCUUUGCAGUCAGCUCCCCUGAAAUGCAUUAGCGGAACCGUUUGCGAUCCGUCACCGGUGUGAUAAUUAUCUACGCCAACGACAAUGGAUGCUUUCUGUCUGUUCAGCUUCUAACUGUCUUCUCUGUGGGACAAACUCAUUUGAAAACUUGACCUCAAAUCAGGUAGGACUACCCGCUGAACUUAAGCAUAUCAAUAAGCGGAGGA
rnacentral:rRNA from 1 species